rnacentral:rRNA from 1 species
GAUGAACGCUGGCGGCAUGCCUAACACAUGCAAGUCGAGCGAAAAGACGAGGCGCUUGCCUCACUGACGUCAGCGGGGGGCGUGUGGCAAACAAGCGGACACCCUCCCGGUGAAAAUCGGAUAACAUCGGGAAACCGGACCUAAUACGGUAUAAUAUAGUAAGCUGCAUGGCUCAAUACUGCAAGAGGGUUGUGCGGUCACUUAUAGAUUGAUCGGCGCCGCAUUAGCUAGUUGGUCAGGUAAAGGCUUACCAAGGCAACGAUGCGUAGCCGACCUGAGAGGACGAUCAGCCACACUGGAACUGAGACACGGCCCAGACUCCUACGGGAGGCAGCAGUGGGGAAUCUUGGACAAUGGGCGAAAGCCUGACGGAGCAACGCCGCGUGCAGGAUGAAGGUCUUCGGGUCGUAAACCUCUGUUGUUCGGAAAGAACAAGUGUGUGUGUAACUCUGCAGGUAUUGACGGUACCUAAUGAAUAAGCACCGGCUAACUACGUG